UCCGGUUUGGCACCGGCAGUCCUCCCAGAGUCCUCGACUUGACUCGCUAGCAACUGGGAGCGGGGGUUGCGCUCGUUGCGGGACUUAACCCAACAUCUCACGACACGAGCUGACGACGGCCAUGCAGCACCUGUGUCCUGGUUCCCUUUCAGGCACCCCCACAUCUCUGCGGGAUUCCAGGCAUGUCAAGGGUAGGUAAGGUUUUUCGCGUUGCAUCGAAUUAAUCCACAUCAUCCACCGCUUGUGCGGGUCCCCGUCAAUUCCUUUGAGUUUUAAUCUUGCGACCGUACUCCCCAGGCGGUCGACUUCACGCGUUAGCUGCGUUACCGAAGGAGUUACCCUCCGACAACUAGUCGACAUCGUUUAGGGCGUGGACUAC
rnacentral:misc_RNA from 1 species